GUUAGCGGCGGACGGGUGAGUAACACGUGGGUAACCUGCCUGUAAGACUGGGAUAACUCCGGGAAACCGGAGCUAAUACCGGAUAGUUCCUUGAACCGCAUGGUUCAAGGAUGAAAGACGGUUUCGGCUGUCACUUACAGAUGGACCCGCGGCGCAUUAGCUAGUUGGUGGGGUAAUGGCUCACCAAGGCGACGAUGCGUAGCCGACCUGAGAGGGUGAUCGGCCACACUGGGACUGAGACACGGCCCAGACUCCUACGGGAGGCAGCAGUAGGGAAUCUUCCGCAAUGGACGAAAGUCUGACGGAGCAACGCCGCGUGAGUGAUGAAGGUUUUCGGAUCGUAAAGCUCUGUUGUUAGGGAAGAACAAGUGCGAGAGUAACUGCUCGCACCUUGACGGUACCUAACCAGAAAGCCACGGCUAACUACGUGCCAGCAGCCGCGGUAAUACGUAGGUGGCAAGCGUUGUCCGGAAUUAUUG
rnacentral:rRNA from 1 species